UGAACCUGCGGAAGGAUCAUUACAGUAUUCUUUUGCCAGCGCUUAACUGCGCGGCGAAAAACCUUACACACAGUGUCUUUUUGAUACAGAACUCUUGCUUUGGUUUGGCCUAGAGAUAGGUUGGGCCAGAGGUUUAACAAAACACAAUUUAAUUAUUUUUACAGUUAGUCAAAUUUUGAAUUAAUCUUCAAAACUUUCAACAACGGAUCUCUUGGUUCUCGCAUCGAUGAAGAACGCAGCGAAAUGCGAUAAGUAAUAUGAAUUGCAGAUUUUCGUGAAUCAUCGAAUCUUUGAACGCACAUUGCGCCCUCUGGUAUUCCAGAGGGCAUGCCUGUUUGAGCGUCAUUUCUCUCUCAAACCCCCGGGUUUGGUAUUGAGUGAUACUCUUAGUCGGACUAGGCGUUUGCUUGAAAAGUAUUGGCAUGGGUAGUACUGGAUAGUACUGUCGACCUCUCAAUGUAUUAGGUUUAUCCAACUCGUUGAAUGGUGUGGCGGGAUAUUUCUGGUAUUGUUGGCCCGGCCUUACAACAACCA
rnacentral:sRNA from 1 species